CUUAGUCUUACUCUCUUUGUCCAAAACUUAUGACUCAAAUAUGAACUCUCAACUACUGUUCCAGCCCCAUUACUGCCUGCUUAUCCCCACAUUCUUUACCAAUAUAAUAUAACUCUCUGAAACUAACUGCAGGUACAAAAAAUGGAGAAGAGACUGAGGGUCAAGAGGACCAGUUACCUGCCCAAAUUGGGAUCCAUCUUAUGGGAAGGCUCCAAGCAGCAGCUGUGGACAGGAGAGGAGGAAGGUCCUUCCACAAUUUUCCUAAGAACACGGAGCAGA